GAUGAACGCUGGCGGCGUGCCUAACACAUGCAAGUCGAGCGGCAGCGCGGGGUGCUUGCACCCUGUCGGCGAGCGGCGGACGGCUGAGUAACGCGUGGGAACGUGCCCCAAAGUGAGGAAUAACUGCCCGAAAGGGUAGCUAAUACCGCAUAUUAUCUUCGGAUCAAAGGAUUUAUCCGCUUUGGGAGCGGCUCGCGUCGGAUUAGGUAGUUGGUGAGGUAAUGGCUCACCAAGCCGACGAUCCGUAGCUGGUCUGAGAGGAUGACCAGCCAGACUGGAACUGAGACACGGUCCAGACUCCUACGGGAGGCAGCAGUGAGGAAUCUUCCACAAUGGGCGAAAGCCUGAUGGAGCAACGCCGCGUGCAGGACGAAGGCCUUCGGGUUGUAAACUGCUUUUAUAAGUGAGGAAUAUGACGGUAACUUAUGAAUAAGGAUCGGCUAACUACGUA
rnacentral:rRNA from 1 species